AAAGCUCCAUCCUUUCUCACUGACCCAAUUUGAGAAGUAAAAAUUGAUCAGCAGACCAGCUGGGCAUGCAGACACGGACCACAGCAUUUGCAUGGACUGUUAAGAGUGUUAUUCACAGCUUCUGGCGGAGGAGCCAGGCACUUCUCUGCAUCCAAAAUGGCAUGCUCGUGAUGACGAAACCCCGGCCUUCAUCACCUGCAUGAGGCCAGAGAGACACAGCAGCACCACCCCCGGGGUCAAGGGGAAUCCAGAAACAAAGAUCACAUGCCCAUUGCACAGAUCCAUUACUGAGUCACAAACCCACAGAGGAUGCUCAGCUGUGGCCUUCAGAUGAUCCAUACGCAGUGGAUGACGGGUCAAGUUAGCGUGUUGGGGAUGAUGGAGUCCCAGAUUCUAUGAUGCUUCUUCCUGUCCUGUCUGUUUCCUUCCUAUUGCUCCCUUCGCCUCUCUCUCACGAGGCAAAGAAAGACCUUCCGUCUGACCAGCCCUCCCCUCGCCUCCCUUCACACCUCCUCCACCUCCUCUCAGCCAGAACUUGUGCAAAUGACACUUGGAGUUCCACCUUCCCUGGCACGUCGGAUGAGGAAAUGACUGGAAACCUGACAGUCUAUCACUACCAGGGAGUGACAAUUUAAAAAAAAAAAAAAAAGAUUCCA